AUGAACGCUGGCGGCGUGCCUAAUACCUGCAAGUCGAGCGAACGGACGAGAAGCUUGCUUCUCUGAUGUUAGCGGCGGACGGGUGAGUAACACGUGGAUAACCUACCUAUAAGACUGGGAUAACUUCGGGAAACCGGAGCUAAUACCGGAUGAUAUUUUGAACCGCAUGGUUCAAAAGUGAAAGACGGUCUUGCUGUCACUUAUAGAUGGAUCCGCGCUGCAUUAGCUAGUUGGUAAGGUAACGGCUUACCAAGGAAACGAUGCAUAGCCGACCUGAGAGGGUGAUCGGCCACACUGGAACUGAGACACGGUCCAGACUCCUACGGGAGGCAGCAGUAGGGAAUCUUCCGCAAAGGGCGAAAGCCUGACGGAGCAACGCCGCGUGAGUGAUGAAGGUCUUCGGAUCGUAAAACUCUGUUAUUAGGGAAGAACAUAUGUGUAAGUAACUGUGCACAUCUUGACGGUACCUAAUCAGAAAGCCACGGCUAACUACGUG
rnacentral:rRNA from 1 species